AAAAAGUUAGUUAAUGCUAUAACAUUAGAGUGUCAACCUAAAAUAAUUAAUUUGUAAUACUUUUUA
rnacentral:tRNA from 1 species